CUUGCUCCCGGAUGUUAGCGGCGGACGGGUGAGUAACACGUGGGUAACCUGCCUGUAAGACUGGGAUAACUCCGGGAAACCGGAGCUAAUACCGGAUAGUUCCUUGAACCGCAUGGUUCAAGGAUGAAAGACGGUUUCGGCUGUCACUUACAGAUGGACCCGCGGCGCAUUAGCUAGUUGGUGGGGUAAUGGCUCACCAAGGCGACGAUGCGUAGCCGACCUGAGAGGGUGAUCGGCCACACUGGGACUGAGACACGGCCCAGACUCCUACGGGAGGCAGCAGUAGGGAAUCUUCCGCAAUGGACGAAAGUCUGACGGAGCAACGCCGCGUGAGUGAUGAAGGUUUUCGGAUCGUAAAGCUCUGUUGUUAGGGAAGAACAAGUGCGAGAGUAACUGCUCGCACCUUGACGGUACCUAACCAGAAAGCCACGGCUAACUACGUGCCAGCAGCCGCGGUAAUACGUAGGUGGCAAGCGUUGUCCGGAAUUAUUGGGCGUAAAGGGCUCGCAGGCGGUUUCUUAAGUCUGAUGUGAAAGCCCCCGGCUCAACCGGGGAGGGUCAUUGGAAACUGGGAAACUUGAGUGCAGAAGAGGAGAGUGGAAUUCCACGUGUAGCGGUGAAAUGCGUAGAGAUGUGGAGGAACACCAGUGGCGAAGGCGACUCUCUGGUCUGUAACUGACGCUGAGGAGCGAAAGCGUGGGGAGCGAACAGGAUUAGAUACCCUGGUAGUCCACGCCGUAAACGAUGAGUGCUAAGUGUUAGGGGGGUUUCCGCCCCUUAGUGCUGCAGCUAACGCAUUAAGCACUCCGCCUGGGGAGUACGGUCGCAAGACUGAAACUCAAAGGAAUUGACGGGGGCCCGCACAAGCGGUGGAGCAUGUGGUUUAAUUCGAAGCAACGCGAAGAACCUUACCAGGUCUUGACAUCCUCUGACAACCCUAGAGAUAGGGCUUUCCCUUCGGGGACAGAGUGACAGGUGGNGCAUNNNGNCGUCAGCUCGNGNCNNGAAGAAUGNUNGGUUAAGUCCCGCAACNNGCGCAACCCCUUUGAAU
rnacentral:rRNA from 1 species